rnacentral:rRNA from 1 species
CACGUAGGGUGCGAGCGUUUGUCCGGAAUUACUGGGCGUAAAGGGCGCGUAGGCGGCACUGUUAGUCAGGCGUGAAAUUCCUGGGCUCAACCUGGGGACUGCGCUUGAUACGGCAGAGCUAGAGGAUGGAAGAGGCUCGCGGAAUUCCCAGUGUAGAGGUGAAAUUCGUAGAUAUUGGGAAGAACACCGGUGGCGAAGGCGGCGAGCUGGUCCAUUACUGACGCUGAGGCGCGACAGCGUGGGGGAGCAAACAGG